rnacentral:rRNA from 1 species
CCCUUAGAUGUUCUGGGCCGCACGCGCGCUACACUGAUGCAUUCAACGAGUCUAAAACCUGCUCUGAUAGGGGUGGGUAAUCUUUUAAAUGUGCAUCGUGAUUGGGAUAGAUGAUUGCAAUUUUUCAUCUUCAACGAGGAAUGCCUAGUAAACGCAAGUCAUCAGCUUGCAUUGAUUACGUCCCUGCCCUUUGUACACACCGCCCGUCGCUCCUACCGAUUGAAUGAUCCGAUGAAUAUCAUGGAUUGAGGAUGCAAGUAGGUUCGCCUAUCUUCAUCUUCGAGAAGUGAAGUAAAUCUUAUCAUUUAGAGGAAGGAGAAGUCGUAACA